UCGAGAGAUGGUUCGUUUUAUAGUGGCAAGGAAGGAGUUAUCCGGAAGUGCAUGCUUGGAAAUUAUUGGCGUAGGAGCAGCAUGCUCGAAUUGACUUCCACCCGGUGAGUGGGAAGGAAUGUCCAAGAUCUGUGGCACCCGCGCACAUUGCUGCAGCAGUCUCUGUAGCGACUGGAGGGAGUUUCAUUUUACAUAGGCUGUGAUCCAAAGAUUUGUGCAACGUAUAUGAGCGAAGCUCUUCCUCCAGCAAUCUAGUCCCUCAUUGUUCGGCAGUGGAACCUCUAUUCCAGGCCUCUGUCGGAUUGGUGCCGUUAAUUCGGUGACAUGACGUUCAUUCUCAAGCUGUUACACCGGUCACCUCCAUUAAGUAACAAAUUGCUCUCUGUUGCACAAAGAAUUCUACUCAGUAGCACUGUCGUUUUAUUUAAGAGCUUCAA